AUUGCUUCUUGGCCUUUGGCUAAGAUCAAGUGUAGAAUCUCAUUGUGGGGUUGAAUAAAACAAACUAAUAGAUGCACUCACUGGGCAUUCAAAUGUAUCAAUGCCAUCAGCAGAGUAAAAGAUGUGAUUAUUGUGAGUAGUAAUUUAAAACAGUUAGCCAGUGCUACUGUUAAUAGAACUCAUA
ensembl:snRNA U2 U2 spliceosomal RNA